AUGACUCAUACGUCUGAAACCUCAGGAACAAGUUCUCUAUCUCAGCUGCAUCCUCUGAGAUUUUGGUUCCCCCCAUAUUUGGGACUUUGGUUCCCGCCUUCUUUGGGGCUUUGGUUCCCCUGUUCUCUGGGGCUUUGCUUUCACCCUUCUUUGAGGUCUUGGUUUCACCUGUCUUUCGGGCUUUGGGUUCCAUCUUCUCUGGGGAUUUGGUUUCCUUUUCUGGAGGUUUGCUUUUCUUCUCUGGUAUUUUGGUUUCCUUCUUUUCUGGAGGUUUGUUUUUCUUCUCUGGUAUUUUGGUUUCCUUCUUUUCUGAAGGUUUGCUUUUCUUCUCUGGGGCUUUGUUUUCCUUCUCUGGGGCCUUGGUUUCCUUCCCCUCUGGUGAUUUGGUUUCCCCCUUCUCUGGGGGUUUGGUUUUCCCCUUCUCUGGUUUUGGAGGUUGGAUACCCACAGAGACACCCUUCUUGUCCUCCUUCCGCCUCUCUUCCUCCUUCCGCCUUUCUUCCUCCUUCUGCCUCUCCUCCUCCUCUAAGGCUUUUACUUCCCGCUGAUGCCUUUGAACCAGCCACUUCAGCAAACUUCAGCAAACAAAACAGAAAACAUUGCUGAGAGUCACCACCAGAAAUUGAGCUCACCAGUCCUGACUGGCCCUGCACUUCAUUCCUUGACCCUAAGGCCAGGCAGAACCACCAGACCAUUUCCGUAAAUUUUUCUCAACCCACAGAGGCUGGGAACAUCCCAAGUGAGGGCAUUGGUGGAAGGGGACUUCCAGGACCAACCAAACCUGAACCAUGCCAUCAUAAAGGUCUUGGCUGUGCAAGCUCCCUCUUAAGGCACAGCCAGACCCCUCCAGCCCCUGCCAAAGGCUGAUCCACCAGCUCUCUGUGCUGAUGCCUGAAAACGCCCUUUGCCUCUUAAUUUCCCAGUUUAAAGCAGAGCACAGAUGGCCAACAUCUGCUUAUCUCUCCUACAAUUCUUACUCAGCUCAUUCAGCACCCCUCAGGGUACAGCCUGCUCCUUAAUGACAAUAAUCCUAUCAGUCAGAAAGCAAAGGCUGCAGGAACUCCUCUCCUGCAAGACAGGCUCUUGUCAGNUGCUC
rnacentral:lncRNA from 1 species